CCUACGGGAGGCAGCAGUAGGGAAUCUUCCGCAAUGGACGAAAGUCUGACGGAGCAACGCCGCGUGAGCGAUGAAGGCCUUCGGGUCGUAAAGCUCUGUUGUUAGGGAAGAAUAAGUGCUAGUUGAAUAAGCUGGCACCUUGACGGUACCUAACCAAGAGAAGCCACCGGCUAACUACGUGCCAGCAGCCGCGGUAAUACGUAGGUGGCAAGCGUUGUCCGGAAUUAUUGGGCGUAAAGCGCGCGCAGGCGGUUUCUUAAGUCUGAUGUGAAAGCCCCCGGCUCAACCGGGGAGGGUCAUUGGAAACUGGGAAACUUGAGUGCAGAAGAGGAAAGUGGAAUUCCAAGUGUAGCGGUGAAAUGCGUAGAGAUUUGGAGGAACACCAGUGGCGAAGGCGACUUUCUGGUCUGUAACUGACGCUGAGGCGCGAAAGCGUGGGGAGCAAACAGGAUUAGAUACCCUGGUAGUCACGCUGUAAACGAUGAGUGCUAAGUGUUAGAGGGUUUCCGCCCUUUAGUGCUGAAGUUAACGCAUUAAGCACUCCGCCUGGGGAGUACGGUCGCAAGACUGAAACUCAAAGGGAACUUGACGGGGGCCCGCACAAGUGGUGGAGCAUGUGGUUUAAUUCGAAGCAACGCGAAGAACCUUAC
rnacentral:rRNA from 1 species